GCCGUAGUCGCUUCUAUAAAGGACGUGGCGUGGGGCUGCUCGGCCUCUCAGCGGCCAUGACGGUGUGGUGUGUAGGUUCCUAUCGUUAUUGCUUCCGUUGUUGGCCUGGGGCGCCGCGGAUGACCCUACAUAGCCCUUGGCCGGCCACCGGGAAGAUUGCGUCUCGUACUGACGAUCGUAACAAAGACGCACCGUGCUUUCCUUCUGAGGGUUUAGUAGCCCUAAUACGUGCAGCAGACUAGUCAUGUGGAAGUUUGUCUGCUGAAAGUAAGCGCCCUCCCGGGAGGAUGUGUUGAACUUUUGGGAAGGUUGGUGACUAAACUCUGCUUGUGCUAACUGCCCAGCAAUGACUCAGUUGAGAUCCAGAAGCCAGGAAGAAGGAAGGGGGCCUACUUAUUGGCCAAGAUGGCUGAUCGGGAUGAGUGCAGAUAUGAUUUUAGGCCGUGGGCCUGAGGUAUGUCCUCUGACCUCACCAGUGUCCUACAGAACUCCCCAUAUGGCUUUGGGCAGCUCUGAACUUAACUCUGGUAGCCAGCCUAUGUCUUAAGUUGUGGACUGGAUUUGGGUUGGCCUGGGUUUGACUGGUCUGUGUGUGGUAGUGGCACUGGAGAUGGGGAACCUCUAAAACUCAACAUCUCUACCUGACUGUACACGGUCUUAAAAGAUAUAAUUAUGAGUUGGGGGGGUUGGGGAUUUAGCUCAGUGGUAGAGCGCUUGCCUGGCAAGGCCCUGGGUUCAGUCCCCAGCUCCGAAAAAAAAGAAAAAAUGAGUUGGGGGGGGUGAUAGUGGUCCCUCCCUAUAGUUGAAGGCCAGCCUGGUCUACAAAGCAAGUUCCAGGAUGGCCAGAACUAUUAAACAAAUAAACCCUGUCUUGAAAAACUAAGAAGGAGAAAGAGUGAUCUAGGAGGGGAACUGGCUGUAGUAGAUGCUGUGACAUAAAUAAACUUGUCAAUUUUUACGGCUGGAAUCUUCCUUUGCUAUUAAGUUUCUUCUCGUCUAUCUCCCCUGGAAAAUAAAGCAUGCCAGAGUGAAUGGUAAGAUUUGAGGUUUAGUUUGGGCUGGAACUGGCUUUUAACAGGAGCUAAGCUUUCUGCAUACUGUGGGCAAACAUUUCCCCUAAGCCAGGAGACUGGUGGGAGGGGGGUGAGGCACAAGGACAGCACUACAGAAAUGCUGCUCAGCUAAAGUGUCUGGAGCCCAGACUGGGGCUGCUGUUGUGUGCCAUAGCAGAUAUUGCUCCUUGGUAGAGCAUGAUGCCUGUGGCAGAAAUGCAUAGGUCCACAGGUUGGGUCCUUGGGAUAGUG
ensembl:lncRNA